CUAGGAUUAGAUACCCUAUUAUUAAAAAUUAAAUUUAUUACACUAAAAUAGUAAAUAAUGAUUUAUUGAAACUUAAAUAAUUUGGCGGUAUUUUAGUACAUUUAGAGGAAUCUGUCUAAUAAUUGAUAAUCCACGAAUAAAUUUACUUAAUUUAUAAUUUUAUAUAUCGUUGUUAAAAAAAUAUUUUUUUAUAAAAAUAAUAUUUUAAAAUUUUUAUAUAAAAUUAACUCAGAUCAAGAUGUAGAUUAUAAUUAAGAAUAUGAUGGAUUACAAUAAUAAAAAUUAAAAUGAAUAAUAUUUUGUAAAUAAUAUUUGAAGGUGGAUUUAAAUGUAAUUUUAUUUAAUUUAAUAAAAUGAUUAUAUAUUAAAAUAUGUACAUAUUGCCCGUCGCUUUCAUUUAUAAAUUGAAAUAAGUCGUAACAUAGUAGAGGUACUGGAAAGUGUUUCUAGAAAGUUCAAA
rnacentral:rRNA from 1 species